rnacentral:rRNA from 1 species
CCUACGGGGUGCUGCAGUGGGGAAUAUUGGACAAUGGGCGAAAGCCUGAUCCAGCCAUGCCGCGUGUGUGAAGAAGGCCUUCGGGUUGUAAAGCACUUUCAGUGGGGAAGAAAGCCUUGGGGCUAAUACCCUCGAGGAAGGACAUCACCCACAGAAGAAGCACCGGCUAACUCCGUGCCAGCAGCCGCGGUAAUACGGAGGGUGCGAGCGUUAAUCGGAAUUACUGGGCGUAGAGCGCGCGUAGGCGGUCUGAUAAGCCGGUUGUGAAAGCCCCGGGCUCAACCUGGGAACGGCAUCCGGAACUGUCAGGCUAGAGUGCAGGAGAGGAAGGUAGAAUUCCCGGUGUAGCGGUGAAAUGCGUAGAGAUCGGGAGGAAUACCAGUGGCGAAGGCGGCCUUCUGGACUGACACUGACGCUGAGGUGCGAAAGCGUGGGUAGCAAACAGGAUUAGAUACCCUGGUAGUC